rnacentral:rRNA from 1 species
GGUUCGAUCCUGGCUCAGAUUGAACGCUGGCGGGAUGUUUACACAUGCAAGUCGAACGGCAGCACGGACUUCGGUCUGGUGGCGAGUGGCGAACGGUGAGUAAUGCAUCGGAACGUGCCUAGUAGCGGGGGAUAACUACGCGAAAGCGUAGCUAAUACCGUAUACGCCCUUCGGGGGGAAAGUGGGGGGACCUUUGGGCCUGCACUAUUAGAGCGGCCGAUAUCGGAUUAGCUAGUUGGUGGGGUAACGGCUCACCAAGGCGACGAUCCAGCUGGUUUGAGAGGAUGACCAGCCACACUGGGACUGAGACACGGCCCAGACUCCUACGGGAGGCAGGGAAUUUUGGACAAAUGGGGAAACCCUGAUCCAGCCAUCCCUGCGUGUGCGAUGAAGGCUCAAGUUGUAAAGCACUUUUGGCAGGAAAGAAAACGGCACGGGAUAAUACCCCGUGCAACUGACGGUACCUGCAGAAUAAGCACCGGCUAACUACGUGCCAGCAGCCGCGGUAAUACGUAGGGUGCAAGCGUUAAUCGGAAUUACUGGGCGUGGGCGUGCGCAGGCGGUUCGGAAAGAAAGAUGUGAAAUCCCAGAGCUUAACUUUGGAACUGCAUUUUUAACUACUGAGCUAGAGUGUGUCGAGGGAGGUGGAAUUCGCGUAGCAGUGAAAUGCGUAGAUAUGCGGAGGAACACCGAUGGCGAAGGCAGCCUGGGAUAACACUGACGCUCAUGCACGAAAGCGCGGGGAGCAAACAGGAUUAGAUACCUCCUGGUAGAAAUCACGCCCUAAACGUGAUGUCAACUAGCUGUUGGGGCCUUCGGGCCUUGGUAGCGCAGCUAACGCGUGAAGUUGACCGCCUGGGGAGUACGUAGUCGCAAGAUUAAAACUCAAAGGAAUUGACGGGGACCUGCACAAGCGGUGGAUGAUGUGGAUUAAUUCGAUGCACGCGAAAACCUUACCUACCCUUGACAUGUCUGGAAUCCCGAAGAGAUUUGGGAGUGCUCGCAAGAGAACUGGAACACAGGUGCUGCAUGGCUGUCGUCAGCUCGUGUCGAGAUGCUGGGUUAAGUCCUGCAACGAGCGCAACCCUUGUCAUUGGGUUACGAAAGGGCACUCUAAUGAGACUGCCGGUGACAAACCGGAGGAAGGUGGGGAUGACGCUGCGUCCUCAUGGCCUCUUAUGGGUAGGGCUUCACACGUCAUACAAUGGUCGGGACAGAGGUCGCCAACCCGCGAGAGGGGGAGCCAAUCCCAGAAACCCGAUCGUAGUCCGGAUCGCAGUCUGCAACUCGACUGCGUGAAGUCGGAAUCGGCAGUAAUCGCGGAUCAGCAUGUCGCGGUGAAUACGUUCCCGGUCUUGUACACACCGCCUGUCACACCAUGGGAGUGGGUUUUACCAGAAGUAGUUAGCUCAACCGUAAGGAGGGCGAUUACCACGGUAGGAUUCAUGACUGGGGUGAAGUCGUAACAAGGUAG